GUCGAACGGGGUUAUCAUUUUUGAAGCGAUUAGCUUGCUAAGAGUGGCAAAGUUGAUAACUUAGUGGCGGACGGGUGAGUAACGCGUGGGUAACCUGCCUUACACAGGGGGAUAACACUUAGAAAUAGGUGCUAAUACCGCAUAAGCGCACAGUCCCGCAUGGGACAGAGUGAAAAACAUUAGUGGUGUAAGAUGGACCCGCGUCUGAUUAGCUUGUUGGCGGGGUAACGGCCCACCAAGGCGACGAUCAGUAGCCGGCCUGAGAGGGUGGACGGCCACAUUGGGACUGAGACACGGCCCAAACUCCUACGGGAGGCAGCAGUGGGGGAUAUUGGACAAUGGGGGAAACCCUGAUCCAGCGACGCCGCGUGAGUGAAGAAGUAUUUCGGUAUGUAAAGCUCUAUCAGCAGGGAAGAAAGAAAUGACGGUACCUGAGUAAGAAGCCCCGGCUAACUACGUGCCAGCAGCCGCGGUAAUACGUAGGGGGCAAGCGUUAUCCGGAAUUACUGGGUGUAGAGGGAGCGUAGACGGUAAUGCAAGUCUGGAGUGAAAGGCGGGGGCCCAACCCCCGGACUGCUCUGGAAACUGUGUAACUGGAGUGCAGGAGAGGCAGGCGGAAUUCCUAGUGUAGCGGUGAAAUGCGUAGAUAUUAGGAGGAACACCAGUGGCGAAGGCGGCCUGCUGGACUGUAACUGACGUUGAGGCUCGAAAGCGUGGGGAGCAAACAGGAUUAGAUACCCUGGUAGUCCACGCCGUAAACGAUGAUUACUAGGUGUGGGUGGGUAUGGACCCAUCGGUGCCGCAGCAAACG
rnacentral:rRNA from 1 species